AUUGAACGCUGGCGGCAUGCUUUACACAUGCAAGUCGAACGGCAGCGCGGGCUUCGGCCUGGCGGCGAGUGGCGAACGGGUGAGUAAUGCAUCGGAACGUGCCCAGUAGUGGGGGAUAGCCCGGCGAAAGCCGGAUUAAUACCGCAUACGACCUGAGGGUGAAAGCGGGGGACCGAAAGGCCUCGCGCUAUUGGAGCGGCCGAUGUCGGAUUAGCUAGUUGGUGGGGUAAAGGCUUACCAAGGCGACGAUCCGUAGCUGGUCUGAGAGGACGACCAGCCACACUGGGGCUGAGACACGGCCCAGACUCCUACGGGAGGCAGCAGUGGGGAAUUUUGGACAAUGGGGGCAACCCUGAUCCAGCCAUGCCGCGUGCGGGAAGAAGGCCUUCGGGUUGUAAACCGCUUUUGUUCGGGAAGAAAUCCUCUGGGCUAAUACCCCGGGGGGAUGACGGUACCGGAAGAAUAAGCACCGGCUAACUACGUG
rnacentral:rRNA from 1 species